rnacentral:sRNA from 1 species
GCUGCACGUCCAGGAGCAUCACGGUCCAGCUGCCACACACGCAUAGAAUGAAAUGUUACGUCCACGUGAGAAGAGCUUCAAAUAGCAAUGGGCUGGAUUCAACUGGGAGGCACUCACGGUCCAGCGUACAACAGCAGGAGCGGGUGGUAAGCAGUCCAGCAGCUUGAGGAAGGGGUGCUUGGAGUAAAGAGCAUCCAGCAGCUUGGAUUUGAGGAGGCGCUGGGAGAGAAAUGGGCAGCAGGGCCUGGUCCAGCAUCCAGCAAGGACUCCACGCUUCCAGUAGCUGCUUCACGCAUCCAGCAAAGGGGGCUGAUGGGUGAUUAAAUGAAAGGAGGGCCAGCUGCCACCUGGGGGAAUGGGAAUGGAGGAAGCCGCGAGGUGGAGAAAAAAAUGGAGAAUGGUUGAGCUGUAGCCGCGAGGGAGAGAAAGAAAGAAGCUCACGGAGGCACGUUUUUCAUUUUUUUUAAGAAGGAUGUAAGGAGCUAUAACGUAGGGAAUGAAGAGGCUGUGACGAGGGAGCACUCGGUCACGACAACACGGAUGGCAGGAAGAGGUUCUCACACGUUGAGCUGGAAGCAAAGAAGAAAGCGUUGAUUAAAUUUUUGGAAAGAGGAGCACGGGAACGUUGAGCUGGAUGCGGCAGCGGUGCACACGUGGAGUUAGAGAAUGGUGUCACGGCCUGGAUGUAGUGUUGCACGCUGUCACGCAAACGUGAUUUAAUUUGGAGAAAGGCACGCUGAUUCAUGGAAGAGAAGAGAUGCACUCGGUCACGUCCAGCCAGCAAGCGCUGAUUUCAGCUUGGUGCACUCACGGUUCUUUGGAUUUUGGGUGAAGAGAGAGCACAUGGUCCGACACGCGUCCAAAAGCUUGGAUUGGCUGCACGUCCAGGAGCAUCAUGGUCCAGCUGCCACACACGCACAGAAUGAAAUGUUACGUCCACAUGAGAGGAGCUUCAAAUAGCAAUGGGCUGGAUUCAACUGGUAGGCACUCACGGUCCAGCGUCCAACAGCAGCAACGGGUGGUAAGCAGUCCAGCAACUUGAGGAAGGGGUGCCUGGAGUAAAGAGCAUCGAGCAGCUUGGAUUUGAGGAGGUGCUGGGAGAGAAAUGGGCAGCAGGGCCUGGUCCAGCAUCUAGCAAGCACUUCACGCUUCCAGUAGCUGAUUCACGCAUCCAGCAAUUUGGUGAGCACACGGAAGAGUCCAGGGUUUUUGAAAAGGAGACAGACACGAGGGAGGAGGAAGCUUUUAUUUUUUUCGGUUUUAGGGAAUGUAGACGCCACGUUCUUUUGUGGGAGCUUUCUUGAAUAUUGUUUGAAGUGCACAGGGGACGGUUGGAAGCACUGAUUCCAGGAGCAUGUGAGGUGUACUCGGUAAUCAUUUUCAUUUCGCACGAUGAUUGAGUUUUAGUGAGCACGGUGUCCAGCAGCUCUCGUUUUUUUUUUCUUUAAUUGGAAGGAAAGGAUUGGUGUCACGGACUGGAGAGAGCACGCGUCCAGCUUAGAGGAGCGUGUGUGCACUCAUAGCUUUGUCUUCUUUUAAAAAAAAGGGCAAGAAUUGAUUUUUCUUUGAGAGCAUGGUGAUUCAUUUUGGAAGGGGAAUGACUGCUACGUCGAGUAUUGUUCUAUCCAAGCACAAGCGGUGAUUUAUUUUGGAGAAGAAAAGGGUCAUUCAUUUUACUCGGGGAAACGCUUAUUUUCAAUUUGGAGUGCUUUUCUUUCAUUUUGAAUGGAGUGGUGAUUUUAUUUUGUGGCAUUGUGCUUUUAAUUGGUGACGCGUUACGUUCAAAAGUAAUAUAUGAAUUUUCGUUAAAUUUUAGUUUCGUUGCUUGUGCUUGCAAGGCUGACUCAAGCAGCAACUUAUGGAUGU